GACGAACGCUGGCGGCGUGCUUAACACAUGCAAGUCGAACGGAAAGGCCCUGCUUUUGUGGGGUGCUCGAGUGGCGAACGGGUGAGUAACACGUGAGUAACCUGCCCUUGACUUUGGGAUAACUUCAGGAAACUGGGGCUAAUACCGGAUAGGAGCUCCUGCUACAUGGUGGGGGUUGGAAAGUUUCGGCGGUUGGGGAUGGACUCGCGGCUUAUCAGCUUGUUGGGGGGGUAGUGGCUUACCAAGGCUUUGACGGGUAGCCGGCCUGAGAGGGUGACCGGCCACAUUGGGACUGAGAUACGGCCCAGACUCCUACGGGAGGCAGCAGUGGGGAAUAUUGCACAAUGGGCGGAAGCCUGAUGCAGCAACGCCGCGUGCGGGAUGACGGCCUUCGGGUUGUAAACCGCUUUCGCCUGUGACGAAGCGUGAGUGACGGUAAUGGGUAAAGAAGCACCGGCUAACUACGUG
rnacentral:rRNA from 1 species